CAUCCCAGUUCGGAUCGCAGGCUGCAACCCGCCUGCGUGAAGUUGGAAUCGCUAGUAAUCGCGGAUCAGCAUGCCGCGGUGAAUACGUUCCCGGGCCUUGUACAUACCGCCCGUCACACCAUGAGAGUCGGGAACACCCGAAGUCCGUAGCCUAACCGCAAGGGGGGCGCGGCCGAAGGUGGGUUCGAUAAUUGGGGUGAAGUCGUAACAAGGUAAC
rnacentral:rRNA from 1 species